rnacentral:rRNA from 1 species
GCUCAACAGCUAGCCUUAACCCCACCAACAACUAAAAACUAUAAAUACCCCCUAAUGACACACACACUCAAAACAAACCAUUUUUCCACCCCAGUACGGGCGACAGAACAGGACCCUAAAAGAGCAAUAGAAAAAGUACCGCAAGGGAACGCUGAAAGAGAAAUGAAACAAACCAGUAAAGCCCUAAAAAGCAGAGAUUAAAGCUCGUACCUUUUGCAUCAUGAAUUAGCUAGUAACAUAUAAACAAAGAGCCCUUUAGUUUAUUUCCCCGAAACUAGAUGAGCUACUCCGAGACAGCCCGUUAAAGGGGCAAACCCGUUUCUGUGGCAAAAGAAUGGGAAGAGCUCCGAGUAGAGGUGACAAACCUACCGAGUCUAGUUAUAGCUGGUUGCCCAGGAAACGAAUAGAAGUUCCGCCUCCCAGAUUCUUCCCUCAAACCUCAUCAAACACACCCGACACAAAGAAACUGCGAGAGUCACUCGAAGGGGGUACAGCCCCUUCGACCAAGAGACAGCUUUUACAGAAGGCUAAAGAUCAUAACCACCCAAGGUCUUAUAUUUUGGUGGGCCUAAAAGCAGCCACCCAUGAAGAAGGCGUUACAGCCCAAAUAUUAUUUAACCUAUUAUCCGGACAACACAAUCUAAAGCCCCUCCCCCUACUGGGCCUCUCCAUGCCCCCAUGGAAGAGACCAUGCUAGUAUGAGUAAUAAGGGGGUCCCCCCCCCUCCUUGCACAAGUGUAAAUCGGAACGGACCCUCCACCGACCUCUACCCGGACCCAACCUCAGAGGGCAUUGAGUAUAAAAUAAGGCAACAAGAAAACCGCUCAAUACAACAACCGUUAACCCCACACUGGUGUGCCCACAAGGAUAGACUAAAAGGGAAAGAAGGAACUCAGCAAACACAAGCCUCGCCUGUUUACCAAAAACACCGCCUCUUGAAAACUAAACAUAAGAGGUCCCGCCUGCCCUGUGACAAUACGUUCAACGGCCGCGGUAUUUUGACCGUGCAAAGGUAGCGCAAUCACUUGUCUCUUAAAUGGAGACCUGUAUGAAUGGCAUAACGAGGGCUUAACUGUCUCCUUUCCCCAGUCAAUGAAAUUGAUCUCCCCGUGCAGAAGCGGGGAUCACAACAUAAGACGAGAAGACCCUAUGGAGCUUUAGAUAUCAAGAUAGACCAUGUCAAGAGCCCCAACAAAGGAACAAAACUAAGUGGUAACUAUCCGACUAUCUUUGGUUGGGGCGACCAUGGGGCAACACGAAACCCCCACGCGGAAAGGGGAUAUACAUCCCCAAAACCAAGAGCCACAGCUCUAAGUAACAGUACAUCUGACCACUAAGAUCCGGCAAAGCCGAUCAACGAACCGAGUUACCCUAGGGAUAACAGCGCAAUCCCCUUCUAGAGCCCAUAUCGACAAGGGGGUUUACGACCUCGAUGUUGGAUCAGGACAUCCUAAUGGUGCAGCCGCUAUUAAGGGUUCGUUUGUUCAACGAUUAAAGUCCUACGUGAUCUGAGUUCAGACCGGAGUAAUCCAGGUCAGUUUCUAUCUAUGAAGUGACCUUUUCUAGUACGAAAGGACCGAAAAGGAGAGGCCCAUGCUAAAAGCAUGCCUCCCCCUCACCUAAUGAAAACAACUAAAAUAGGCAAGAGGGCACGCCCCCCUGCCUAAGAAAAUGGCAU